GCCUACGGCCAAGGGACAUGAAAAGAUGCUGGUCACUAAUCCAGGAAAUGCAAAUCAAAACCAUGGUGAUAUGUCACCUCAUACCUUUCAGAAUGGCUGUCAUCAAAAAGAACACAUAGAACAAAUGUUGGCAAGGAUGUGGAUCCCUGCCUUUUUGAAGCUUACUCUAGGGAAAGGAGAGAGCGAGGUCAAUCAAACACUGCGUGAUAAAUGUGUCAAGGGUUUGGUGCUGGGAGGAGACUGCAGGGAUCCUCAGGGGCACCCAGCAGCCCAGCCUGGCUUGGCCUAGGGGUGGAGGGAGCUUGUGGGAGGAAGUGACCCUUGAGCGAGUGUGCAGUGGUUAACUAGAGGGAGAAGGAGGCCUUCCCUACAGAGGAACAGCAGGCACGGGCCCUGGAGGAUGGUCAGGCCCUGCUCCACAUGCUGCAAGGGCUGCAGGAUAAAUAAGGGAAUCCCUGAUAGGGGUCAGAGCCACUGUGCUGGGGGAGAAGGGAGAAGAGCCAUGGAUGUCUAAGGCAGAAGGAAAUAGGCACAGAUGGUGGGUUCUGGGAGAAGAAGACAGGACAGAGGCUGAUAGGGGAGUCUGUGCAGGAAGAGGGAGGCAGGGUGCACCUGGAAGGGUCCUGGAGGCUGGAAAGUCUUUGAUCUCUGUGGGGAGCAGGGUGGCUCCUGGGGCAGAGCUGGAGAGGCCAAGGGCAGGCUGGGCUCAGAGGAAAGGGGCAAAAUCUAAAGAGUAUUAAGCGUACUUCAAGCUUAGUAAUGUCCCCCUGUUCAGCCCUGAGGAUAAUCAGGUUCAUGCUCUCUGCCCCAGAGAGGGGUGGGGACCCUGCCACUCUGCAGGAGAGCUCACUGCCUGCCCAGUGAGUUACACCUAGAGUUUGGCCCAAGUUGCCCAGGACAUCAGGAAGCAUCAGAUGCACAGAGAGGGCUGGGCCAGUGGGUCCCCUGGAUGCAGACUCACUACUCAAGCUGUGUAGGUUGGGGCUUGCAGGCUGCUCCCUGUUAAGCAUGUCCUUUCCAGGUUUCACUUACAGCACCUCUCAAAUAGCCUUUGCCAUGCAGCAUGCUACUAAGACUUCGAAGAAUUGCUGAGAAAGCACUAGAAUUUAGCAGGUGCAUCCCGGAACAGCCUUGAUCCUGGGCCUUUCACUCUCAGACUCAGGCUUCCUCCGAAGGCCUCCCCAUGGGAACUGACCCCCUCUUGGAUGACCAGGAACCUACCUUUUAGAGAAGCCACUUGCCUCCAGAUAUGAGACUCCUUCCUGACACCCGGACCCGAAUACCCAAACAUUUCUGAAUUCAUGCGGAGUCCUUCUGAUCUGGGCAUCCAGGUGCCUGCUGGCAAGGACAGUUCUUGUGCCAGUUACCUGAAGACCUUGGGGGCAAAUGCACUCACUCAACUGAGAAAUGAUCUAAAAGUCUUGAUCAGGAGCUGAUUGUAGCCAGUCCAAACAAACAAGCUGACCCCCAAAGGUUCCACAACAACCCUUGGGGACUAAAACAUAUGCUACUAAAAAAAAAACCAAGAGGUUAAAGAAGAAACCAAAGAGGAAAUCAGGAAACACCUCGAGACAAAUGAAAAUGGAAACACAGCUUUCCCAAAUCUAUGGGACGCUGCAAAACUAGUUCAAAGAGGGAAGUUUCUAGUGAUACAGGUCUAACUCAAGAAACAGGGAAAAUCUCAAAUAAACAACCUAACCUACCACACCCUGCUUUAUCUUGCCCUUUCUGGAAUGCAUGGGAGAUAUUACUAGCCAGUUUCUCACAGAAGCCACUUGAGGUCAAGGGCAGAGCCCUUGUUUCCCUCAGCUUCCCCUCAGCUGGACAGGCCCUGGGGGCCUUCGCCGGUCAGACCCAGGCCCGAACGCGGCAGUCCCACUGGUCCUCUGCUUCGUGAACUGUGGCCUGGCUGGGUCCCCCCUUUCCACCACCCGUAAGCUCUCAGCCCAAACCGAGCGAGGACCCAAACCUCCAUCCCAGGGAAGUGGGCACCAGGCCACUGACUCAGCUGGGCCACCACAGUCGUCCUGGAAACAAGGUCAUGUGAAGCAGGGCUGUGCUGGGGGCAGGACUGGCCCUUCUGACAUCGUUCCAGGUUGCCCGUUGGCCUGCCCCUUCCCUUCCCUCCUGAACAGAGGAAGACGGAGGCAGACAGGCUUUCCCACAACCCCUGCAGGUGUUCCCUGCAGCUUCCAGCCAAUCCCUACAAUACAGUCCUGGGCGACAGCUGCUCUGGCCUUUGCUUGUGGGCUGAGCCAAAGAGGAAAGGCUGUAGUGUCCACAGGUGCGAGUUCAGGCUCAGAGAUCCCACUGUGGGCAGCACCCUACGCUAAGGGCGUGUGUGUGCAGGUAUGUGUGCAGGUGUGCACACACGUGUGAGCUAUGCAGGCUGUAAUUUCCAAAACCAAAAGGGACUUUUUCCUACUUUGCACAU